rnacentral:rRNA from 1 species
AUUGAACGCUGGCGGCAGGCCUAACACAUGCAAGUCGAACGAGUGGCGGACGGGUGAGUAAUGUCUGGGAAACUGCCUGCUGGUGGGGGAUAACUACUGGAAAAGGUAGCUAAUACCGCAUACCAUCAGAUGUGCCCAGAUGGGAUUGGAUUGUUGGUGGGGUAACGGCUCACCAAGGCGACGAUCCCUAGCUGGUCUGAGUGGAUGAGCAGACACACUGGAACUGAGACACGGUCCAGACUCCUACGGGAGGCAGCAGUGGGGAAUAUUGCACAAGGGGCGCAAGCCUGAUGCAGCCAUGCCGCGUGUAUGAAGAAGGCCUUCGGGUUGUAAAGUACUUUCAGCGGGGAGGCGUUACCCUCAGAAGAAGCACCGGCUAACUCCGUGCCAGCAGCCGCGGUAAUAC